GGAGAGGUGGCUGAGUGGUUUAAGGCGCACGCCUCGAAAGCGUGAGAGCUCGAAAGGGCUCCGGGGGUUCAAAUCCCUCCCUCUCCGCCA
rnacentral:tRNA from 1 species